rnacentral:tRNA from 1 species
GCGCUCAUAGCUCAGCUGGAUAGAGCACUUGGCUACGAACUAAGGGGUCGGGAGUUCGAAUCUCCUCUGAGCGCACCA